rnacentral:lncRNA from 1 species
CUAUGCUAUAGCCAAUGUUUUGAUCCUUCUCUUGAACUUGAGUACCUUACUCAAUGUUCUUGCUUGCCCUUAUUGUCCUUACCCAAGCCCUAAACCACCUUCACACCACCCUCCUAUUGUUAAGCCACCAGUUCACAAACCACCAAAGCAUUCUCCUACUCCUAAACCACCAGUUCAUAAACCACCAAGAUAUCCUCCUAAACCAUCACCUUGUCCACCCCCAUCAUCAACACCAAAACCACCUCAUCAUCCCAAACCCCCAGCAGUACACCCACCACAUGUUCCAAAACCACAUCCACCUUAUGUUCCAAAACCACCAAUUGUUAAACCUCCAAUAGUACAUCCACCUUACGUACCAAAACCCCCAGUUGUGAAACCACCACCAUAUGUCCCUAAACCACCUGUUGUGAGACCACCCUAUGUUCCUAAACCACCAGUUGUACCUGUAACACCACCUUAUGUUCCUAAGCCACCAAUUGUUUUCCCACCACAUGUUCCUCUACCUCCAGUUGUACCAUCACCACCACCUUAUGUACCAACACCUCCAAUUGUGAAACCACCAAUUGUUUUUCCACCACAUGUUCCUCUACCUCCAGUUGUGCCUGUAACACCACCUUAUGUGCAACCACCACCUAUUGUAACUCCACCAACACCAACACCUCCAAUUGUGACACCACCAACACCACCUAGUGAAACACCUUGUCCUCCACCACCACUUGUACCUUAUCCACCACCACCAGCACAACAAACAUGUUCCAUUGAUGCUUUGAAGUUGGGUGCAUGUGUUGAUGUGCUUGGUGGACUCAUACAUAUUGGUAUAGGUGGAAGUGCUAAACAAACAUGUUGUCCAUUGCUUCAAGGACUUGUUGAUUUGGAUGCUGCUAUAUGUCUUUGCACCA